CUGAUUGUCAUGUUUUUCUUUAAGUAUUGACAAUUGUGGGCUUGCAGGAUAUGAGGCAGAGAUGACGAAAACACACCAUCCAACACUAAUUUUAUUUCCAGAAGAUCAGAAUCACCUGGAUUUUGAAGAUGCCCUGGAGCCAGUGGUCACCAGAGGAACUGUGAUGACCAUGGGUUUCAGCACUCUUCUGCAGAUGGAGAUUUGAUGCCUGCAAGGUGAAACUCAGGGAUGUGGAAUUGCCCUCUGCACAUGGGGACUUGAUUCACUGGCAGGUUUUUAUCGGCAGGUAAUUUUAUCUACAAAGAACCACUUUUCUCAGAGUUUGAGGUUUGCCACUGAAAGUUUCACAUGUUUGAAUGCGGAGCCAUUUUCAAAAUGGAGGUCCAUCAUCUUUUACUUAAGACAGAAUAUCAGAGACGUGCUGUCUCAGGAUGGCCCUGCGAGGCAUCCAGGACAAAGCCACCAGAGAAACCAUUUGGGGUGGUGCA